rnacentral:rRNA from 1 species
AUACGUAGGGGGCGAGCGUUGUCCGGAAUGAUUGGGCGUAAGGGGCGCGUAGGCGGCGCGGUAAGUCUGGAGUGAAAGUCCUGCUUUCAAGGUGGGAAUUGCUUUGGAUACUGCCGCGCUUGAGUGCAGGAGAGGUUAUCGGAAUUCCCGGUGUAGCGGUGAAAUGCGUAGAGAUCGGGAGGAACACCAGUGGCGAAGGCGGGUAACUGGACUGCAACUGACGCUGAGGCGCGAAAGUGUGGGGAGCAAACAGGAUUAGAUACCCUGGUAGUCCACACUGUAAACGAUGAAUGCUAGGUGUAGGGGGUAUCGACCCCUUCUGUGCCGCAGUCAACACAAUAAGCAUUCCGCCUGGGGAGUACGGCCGCAAGGUUGAAACUCAAAGGAAUCGACGGGG